rnacentral:rRNA from 1 species
UACGUAGGGGGCAAGCGUUGUCCGGAAUCAUUGGGCGUAAAGAGCGUGUAGGCGGCCCGAUAAGUCCGCCGUGAAAGUCCAGGGCUCAACCCUGGAAUGCCGGUGGAAACUGUCGGGCUCGAGUCCGGAAGAGGAGAGUGGAAUUCCUGGUGUAGCGGUGAAAUGCGCAGAUAUCAGGAAGAACAGCCAAUGGCGAAGGCAGCUCUCUGGGACGGUACUGACACUGAGACGCGAAAGUGCGGGGAGCAAACAGG